rnacentral:pre_miRNA from 1 species
GAUUUCAAUUGAAAAAGUCAUCAACAACGAAGUUGUAUAACUCAUCAAGAUCUAUAACUUUUAUAACUUUUAUUUUGGUCAUUUCUUCAUCCGACAAAGUGAUAGUAGUAUUGUUUACAAAAUUUACAUCUAUAUCAUUUGGUUCUAUAAACUAUAAAGGAGAUAUGUAAACUUUGUGAAUAAUACUACUGUCACUUUAUCGGAUGAAGAAAUGAUCAAAAUAAAAGUUGUAUGUCUUGAUGAGCUCUACAACUUUUAUGUUCAUGACUUUUUCAGCUGAAAUU